rnacentral:rRNA from 1 species
GACGAACGCUGGCGGCGUGCUUAACACAUGCAAGUCGAACGGAAAGGCCCUGCUUUUGUGGGGUGCUCGAGUGGCGAACGGGUGAGUAACACGUGAGUAACCUGCCCUUGACUUUGGGAUAACUUCAGGAAACUGGGGCUAAUACCGGUUAGGAGCUCCUGCUGCAUGGUGGGGGUUGGAAAGUUUCGGCGGUUGGGGUUGGACUCGCGGCUUAUCAGCUUGUUGGUGGGGUAGUGGCUUACCAAGGCUUUGACGGGUAGCCGGCCUGAGAGGGUGACCGGCCACAUUGGGACUGAGAUACGGCCCAGAAGCCUACGGGAGGCAGCAGUGGGGAAUAUUGCACAAUGGGCGGAAGCCUGAUGCAGCAACGCCGCGUGCGGGAUGACGGCCUUCGGGUUGUAAACCGCUUUCGCCUGUGACGAAGCGUGAGUGACGGUAAUGGGUAAAGAAGCACCGGCUAACUACGUG